rnacentral:rRNA from 1 species
CCUACGGGAGGCAGCAGUGAGGAAUAUUGGUCAAUGGGCGCGAGCCUGAACCAGCCAAGUAGCGUGAAGGAUGACUGCCCUACGGGUUGUAAACUUCUUUUAUAAAGGAAUAAAGUGAGGCACGUGUGCCUUUUUGUAUGUACUUUAUGAAUAAGGAUCGGCUAACUCCGUGCCAGCAGCCGCGGUAAUACGGAGGAUCCGAGCGUUAUCCGGAUUUAUUGGGUUUAAAGGGAGCGUAGAUGGGUUGUUAAGUCAGUUGUGAAAGUUUGCGGCUAAACCGUAAAAUUGCAAUGGAUACUGGUAGUCUGGAGUAUAGUUGAGGUAGGAGGAAUGCGUGGUGUAGCGGUGAAAUGAUAAGAUAUAACGAAGAACACCGAUUGAGAAGGCAGCUUAAUAAACUGCCACUGACAUUGAUGCUCGAAAGUGGGGGUAUCAAACAGGAUUAGAUACCCCAGGAGUC